UACAGAGGUCUCAAGCGUUGUCCGGAAUUACUGGGCGUAAAGCGUGCGUAGACGGUUGCGUAAGUCAGAUGUGAAAGCCCCGGGCUCAACCUGGGAAUUGCAUUUGAGACUGCGUAGCUAGGGUGCGGAAGAGGGAAGCGGAAUUUCCGGUGUAGCGGUGAAAUGCGUAGAUAUCGGGAGGAACACCUGAGGCGAAGGCGGGUUACUGGGCUGAUACUGACGCUGAGGCGCGAAAGCCAGGGGAGCAAACGGG
rnacentral:rRNA from 1 species